rnacentral:piRNA from 1 species
UGGGCGCAUCUUUGACCACAGAGUCAGG